rnacentral:rRNA from 1 species
ACUCCUACGGGAGGCAGCAGUGGGAAUAUUGGACAAUGGGGGCACCGUAGCUCCAGCCAUGCCGCGUGUAUGAAGAAGGGCCCUCGGGUUGUAAAGUACUUUCAGUGGUGAGGAAGGUUGCGUGUUAAUACCCACGUAAUUUGACGUUAGCCACAGAAGAAGCACCGGCUAACUCCGUGCCAGCAGCCGCGGUAAUACGGAGGGUGCAAGCGUUAAUCGGAAUUACUGGGCGUAAAGCGCACGUAGGCGGAUUGGAAAGUUGGGGUGGAAUACCACGGC